rnacentral:rRNA from 1 species
CCAGACUCCUACGGGAGGCAGCAGUGGGGGAUAUUGCACAAUGGGGGGAACCCUGAUGCAGCGACGCCGCGUGGGUGAAGGAGCGUUUCGGCGCGUAAAGCCCUAUCGGCAGGGAAGAAGGAGGACGGUACCUGACUAAGAAGCCCCGGCUAACUACGUGCCAGCAGCCGCGGUAAUACGUAGGGGGCAAGCGUUAUCCGGAUUCACUGGGUGUAAAGGGAGCGUAGACGGCGACGCAAGUCUGGAGUGAAAGCCCGGGGCCCAACCCCGGGACUGCUCUGGAAACUGUAUGGCUGGAGUGCAGGAGAGGUAAGUGGAAUUCCUAGUGUAGCGGUGAAAUGCGUAGAUAUUAGGAGGAACACCAGUGGCGAAGGCGGCUUACUGGACUGUAACUGACGUUGAGGCUCGAAAGCGUGGGGAGCAAACAGGAUUAGAUACCCCAGUAAG